rnacentral:rRNA from 1 species
GACGAACCGUCCAAACGUUAUUCGGAAUCACUGGGCUUACAGAGUUCGUAGGCGGUCUGGAAAGUUGGGUGUGAAAUCCCUCGGCUCAACCGAGGAACUGCGCUCAAAACUACCCGACUCGAGGGAGAUAGAGGAAAGCGGAACUGAUGGUGGAGCGGUGAAAUGCGUUGAUAUCAUCAGGAACACCGGUGGCGAAGGCGGGUCUCUGGGCCGAUACUGACACUGAGGAGCGAAAGCGUGGGGAGCGAACAGG